AACUACAGUAUGUAUGUAGUUGGGUUGUGGAUGUGUUUAGUCUGAGCCAUGAGUACUGAGAAAAUGACACUUUAAUUUGUCCCACAGCAUGGUGUGUCUGUUUAAUGUAUUUUUGACUUCCAUAUAUCUUUACAUGAUGUACAAACAUAUAAUCAUUUACACACAAGGCUGGGGUUUGAUAAUUCAUCGCAGUUGGCUGGUUAUCCAGCAGUUGUGCUCUGUGAUACUAACCGAUGACACUAACAGUUAUGGGAUCUCUGCAUUUUCUUGAAUAAAUAAUUUCCAUGUUUUUUGUGGGCGUGAAGGAAGUCUGACAGUGGAGAGUUAAGGGUGUGGCAGGGAUAAAGAUUUAUCGAGCUGAUUUAAAAGUAUGACCAAGGCAAAGACAUGGUUAUGCUGUCCCUGUCCAUGGUGCUGACUGCUCCAUCAUCAUUACCACUGUCAUCAGCCUCCUCCGCUUUGAGCCUACUGGAGCUUUCUGAGUGAUACUGGUUUCUGUUUCUUAUCAGGCAAUGCCCGAGAAAGCAGUAUCUGUGUUGGAGGGGGAAAGGAAAACAAACACUUGUUUAUCAGACGAUAUUAGUCACAGCUUCUAAACACUGAUUAAAGUAGAAGAAAUUGAAGCUGGGGAAGGAAAAAAAAAAUGUCCUGACGUAAGGAUAACGUUACACGACUUCAAAUUCACACAGCUCUCAAGAUCCAGUCGGCUGAUUUGAUUGAAGUAAAACAGCGUUCACCCGAACCACGAUAAGACAGAAAUCGGAGGCACAAAAGAAGAUGAGGGGACUCCCCAAACACUUGUGUGUGGUAGACAGUGGAUCAUUGCGUGGAGGAGAUGGACCACACCAGCAGGACUGGUAUCUACGCCUCAGUACAAGGAAGUAAAGGAGGAGCCCUGGCAGAGUCCUCCACGAUGACCUCUGAUGGGCUACUUGAGCAUUUUUCAGACAAACAGACUCCAUGAGGCACGUGAGAGCUCAACAUCCCACAUUUUGUGAGACCUGUGCUCACAGACCAGUACUGUGCAGCUCAAGUUGAAUUCACUCGCAGACACUGGCACUGGCAGGUCUACCAGUGGUGCCUUACUUUCUUUAUAGAUGAGAGCAUAUGCACUCUGAGCACAUUUGACAGACAUCAAAGAAUCUGUGGCAAACAUUAUGCUGCUUGCAUAUCGUCUGUAAUGAUCUGUAAUGACCUGUGAUGAAGUCUUACCUUAUUUAUAUUUUUUUCUUUUUUAAGCAGUGCAUAUUCCCGACUGUUGGAUUGACUAAAGUCAGCUGGAAAGUCUCAUUAGAUGAUCUUGAAUUGGAUGGCCACAUCUAAAUCGAUUACAGUAUUUGCUUUUGAUUAGCUUAGUGAACCAUAAAUACUCCUAGCAUACAGCCACACAAUCCUGGAUAGGAUAGUUAUUGAGAAAUUUCAUGCUGAACUAAAGCACUGAAUUAAUAGACUAACAUAAACAAACUAUGCUGUGCCAUUGCUAAGAAGGAAGGUGGGGCUGAGGUGAUAUGUGAUGUUGUUGCUGACAGCUGUGACGGCUAUUUUGUGCAUGCGUGAGCAUUUAUAUUUGAUCACAGGAUUGACACAUACGUACUGAUAUGCUAAGCUGACUGAGAUAGGAAAGGUAUUGGGAUUUGAGCUGUCUUUUGGGUUUCCAGCGGAUAUAAGCAGGCUGUAAAAAAUUACAGGGUUGUUACAUUAAACCUUCCAUCGUGGCUGAACAUAUGCAUUCCUAUUCAUAUUGAGAAAGUAAUGAAAGAAGACGUCUUCAUAUAAUAUCUCACUCUGCUAUUUCAGUGUGAGUCUAAAUCGACACUUCAGCAGAAAAUAAUAACGUUGCCACAGCCCUAAAUUAUCAUAAUGACCCAUAGUGCUGUACAUAGACACACACUGACCGCACACAAAUAUUGCCUUUUUCACUUUUCGUAUUUCAUGAAAUAUUUAUUUCAGCAAAACAUUCUUGGUUUCUGCCUCACUCCAGAACUGCCAGUUUCUAUUUGGACCCUGUGCUGUGAAAUGUUGAAGAUGGUGAUACUGACCCUGCAAUGAAAAGGAAAAUAAGAACUUGAGAAAACAUCAGCUAUAUUUUUUUCUCUUCCCAUGUCCUUAAACUUGCAGUGUUAAGGUAGAAUUAAACACUUUGUCAGGGUUUCUUGGUUAAAGUGGUUUUGACUUGUCAGGUUAAUCAAAUCAUCACCUGCACUGUGGAAGAGUGACCAGUACAUUGCACAUGACAUGACAUGUGAAUGGACAAAAUCAAUAAGCACUAAGGAUUUUUAGUCCCCAUUCACUUAUUAACAUCCCAGUUUGAAUAACACUGUGCUCGAACAUUAUGUUUGGCUUUCAGAAAUGAAUGCACUGUGACAAUCCUCACUGUUACACAGAUCAGUUUGUUGGUGUGCUUGGUUGCUGUCAUGAAAGUCUUGUCUUCAUUUGUGCCUUUUUAUGCAUGUGUGUGUCACUGGAUUUAUGACUGUGCUGUCCUGAAAUGCCGUCCUGCCCCUUUUUCAGUAAUCAUAUCAGAGCUGAAAAUUUCAGGAGCAGAUUGUAUUUCCCAUGAGCUUUGCAUUCCUAAAGCAAUCAGUCCGAGUUAUCUGAUUUGUUUAUGUAGUGCCACUUGUAUGGAUCUCACAGUGUCAGCGUCAGUACAGAUUCUCACUUUACUUUUGUGCGUCUCUCAUGCAACCUCUACAAGGGUGUAAUGCAUGCGACUUGCGCUCAUGCAUGCCGUAUUUUGUAUCUCCAGCACAUCUGGGCUCAGUGCCAUUGCAAACACGCUUCUCCUAUUGACUUAACCACAAGUUGAGAAUCUCUCUCACACACACUUAUGCACAGAAUUGGUCUGUAAGACAGUCAAAGAGAUCCUGUUCUCUUCCAACAUGACAGGAAAUGAGAACAUUCAAACCAAAAAAAUAUAUUAACUUGGAAUCUAUAAAAGCAAAUAAACAUCUUCUCAAAUGCCUCCCAACAUUUUGGACAGUCAAAUGAAAUAAAACUCAGCAAGUUGUCUUUUUCACUCUGCCACACAUCCUCAAUCUUUUGUAAGAACCCAUUGGCUUAUUUGGUGUCUAUUUGGCCUCUCAGCAAUUGGUCUGGUUCUGCUAGCAAUCAGAUCUGAGUCAAAGACUUUUCCAUUUUAAAGCAAGAGGAUGUUCUCAUAUCUGAUGUCAAUGCUGGCUAGGUAACUCCCGCAUAUUAAGCUAGUAUAUGGGAGAUUCACAUGUCAUUGUCGUAACACAACUCUAAGCAGACAUUUAGGAGGAAAAUGCUUAUUCUGAGUGAAUAGCCACAUUUACACCUGCAGAGAAAAGUUAAAGAAAGGAGCUGAUGAAGAGAAUUAUAAGAAAGGAAGAGGCUAAUUAUUACAGACAGAGGGGAGGAAGCUGUGAUUCAGAGUAUCCAGGCCUUUGUUUCUUCUUGCUGAGAAAUAACAAGAACUGGGUGGCAGACAGAUACAUGAAAGAGGCUGACAACGUUGCAUGUUCCCAAUUAUGUCGUGCUUGAGCCAAAGUACAAACAGAAGAAAUAGGAAACAUCCUUGUUAUAAAAUGCAGAAUCUUCAAUAACAUAAAAUGUCGCACUUAAGGGCUUGAAUGGGGCAAUACAAAGAAAUAAUCCAUCUGCAUAGAAAUAUGCAUUCAUUCCAAGACAGGCUAAAAAUAUUUCAAUAAGGAGAGAUCAUUAGAAGGAGCUGAACAUGAUUUAUUGACGUAUAGAAUUCAAUAUGAGGUAUUUGGCGCUUAGACUCUGAUGGCCCAUCACAGCAGAACAGAAUCCCAGCGGUGAUAAAGAUUAGGACAGGAUUCUAGAUGCUUUUGGUGGAGAUGAAGAUGGAGGCUUGAACGAUGAGGAAGAGGCGGUGAUGGCGAGGAAGUGGGUUGAAUCUGCAAGGAAGAAAGACAGAUGCGCAGUGGGAUUUAAAAUACGUGGAGUGAAGGCUAAUUGGCCUGAAGAAGGCCGGCAGUGUGGGAAAGUGGCCGCCAACACCUGAGAAACAGACAGAUGAAUGACUACAGAGCUUCCUUAUUGAACUUACGCAUAAGCUUUAUUACAAUAGAACUGAAUAGGACAUUUGGGAUGAUAGAAUGACAUGCCAGAGGCAUACAAAAGAUUUUCAUGUAAUAAAUUUCAGAUCAAGGGAAACACAUCAGUAUUACUGAGGUGCUCUGAGCUAUCCGACACAGAGGUUGCAAAGGAAGAAAGAAGAGCGAGUGUUGGGAAGGGAGCGAGGUCAAAACAGAAUACAGAAAGGUAGAGAGGAUGCAUUUUUGUGCAUGUAAUCCCACAUGAGCAAGAAUACAGUUAAUUUAGCAGUGAGGAAGAUAAUAACAUGCAACAAAUGGAAUCCCUUGCCACUUUGAGGUAGUCAGAGGCUCCACGAAGGACUGCUAUUAUGUAAAUUCUUGUAAGAAUAAAUAGAAUGGAAUAAGACAAGAGACGAUGGAGAUUUAAAUGAGUUUGUCAUGAACCGAGCUCCAUUGUAACGCUUGUUGCUCAAGGCACUAUGAAGGCAUAAGGUUGGCAUGCUCACAUUAAUGACAAACGACAAGCAAUGGUUGUGAUAGACUCUCUAUAUCUAUAUUUCGAUAGAGACUGACACGAACACUUCAUCUUUUUCCCACUUAGAUGCCACAAAUUGUAUUUUGCAUUCCCUUGCUUUCCGCUGUCCUGCCAGAUAUUACUAUUCUCACUGUAUGCUGUGGUGACAACUGUGGCUCCUCAGUCUACCCACUGCCAGAGGGAAGGAGGAAAGAUGAGUCAACAGAUUCCUGCCUAGGUCUUCAUAUGCACACUGCUGCACUGCCAUAUAAAGACAUAUUCAGCUUUGUUUAAAUAGAACACACAUACACAGAGAAUAGCUGUCCCUUCCCGUUGAAGUACAGAGUCAGAGUGUUAACAUGUGAGCCUUACUGCAUGGUUAUUGAGUGCUUAUGUUGUCUAGCUUUAAUCCAAAGCUUUGUUUGACGUGAAGCUGGAUUUGUAAACAGAUUACUGGUUGCAAAAUCCUAAAUUCACAAAACUUAUUUUCUCAUAGUGGAUUGGUGUUCAGAGUGCACAAUGUGGCACUUUUUUUUUUUUUUGCCAAUGUGCCAAAAGAUUAUAGACUUUCCCUGACUCACUCUCUUUGGAGACUGAUAUCCAUGGGAAGGUCUGAGGCCAAGGUUGCUACAGAGGAGGUGAAGCAAGCUAUAGUUAGCCAGCUGCUACAGCUGCUACUUUUUAGCUUGGCAGGCAAGCUAAUUUUAGCAAGAAUGAAAUACAAUGAAAGGACUGACGCCCAUCUGGACAAAUGCAGUAGAAGUGAGUAGAAAACUAUUAGCAUGGCUGUAGAUUUAUGCAUCCUGCCCUAUGAUAGCAGGGAUAGGCUCCAGGCCCCCCUUGACCCUGAAAGAGAAUGGAUGCAUGGUGCUAGGGAUCGAAUCAUUCUUAUGCAGGCUUCAGGCUGAUGUUAGCCAAUGAUAGCUCAUCUGCAUAAAUGUCAUAAACAUCACCAGAGCAAUCUACCACAGAUAAAAUAUAGCUAGCUAGCUAGCUUACCUUCAUGCUAGAGAAAACAGUAAUUGGAGACCGGUGCACAACCAAAAUGGUCAGUGUAAAAUGUGUGGAAUUAACUUGCAAUUUUGUUGCCUUUGAAAUGCUUAUUUUGAAGAUGGGGACCAGGUCUGCGACCACUCAAAGUCAGCUGCUGUCCUCAAAGCAAGUUUGAUUGCCAUAAAAUGACAGAAAGCCAGAGCCUGCUGCUAUAAGUUUGCAAUUUAAUGAGGAAAAGUUGGCACUUACUUGAUAAUGUGGUGAUGAUCUAAGAUAAAUCAGAAAAUUCUACCAACACCUUGAACAGAAAUUCUCAUUCACUGUUUAGAUUUAGAGUCUAACCAGAACCUCACAGAUUUUAAAUAGAAAUUCAUAAUUCAGGAAAGUGAUUUAACUGCAAAAUGACACAAUAAGCCUCACUUUUAUGAGUAUAUAAUCGUAAUAUAGUUAGCUGGCCACCCGUUGAGUCAAAUCCCCUAUUGCAAAGAAAUGUGUCGCUAACAAGUUAUGAUCAUUGAUGCAGGGUGGCUCAGAUUGGUUGCAACUUUUGGCAAUCUGUGUUCAUAAAUUAAAUGGCAGUUAUUUGCAAACAUUUACUUUCUGCCUGAGAUUGCAAUCAGUGAUUGCAGUCAUUCUAAAUGGGAUCGUGAAUGUUUGGAGGCAGGUUGCUUCUUGCCAGGCAACCACUCCACGUAUUUUAAACCUCACAGUUCAUCUGUCAUUUUCCCUUGCAAUGCCUUCGUGCAACCCACCUCCUCUUCAUUUCUUCCUCUUCCAUGUUAUUCAGGCUCCAUCCAAGUCUCCAUCCUAGUCCCCACCACCAGCGUUUAGAGUCCAGGGAGUCCUGCUGUAAUUCCUAUCACUGCUGUGAUGGGCUAUAAGAGUGUAAUUGCCAAAUAGCUUAAUUGAAUUUUGUAUAUUAAUAAAUCACGUUCAAUUCCUAGCAAAGGAAGGGUUGGUUAACCAGCUAAUAGUAAGUCAGACAUGCAGCAUGUAUAUCUAGAUCAGCAUAUUGAACUACAAUAUGCAUGAUAUGCAGUACAAUAGUUCAACAUAAAAGUGUAGGACAGUUUAACCUAAGCCAUUUUGGCUAAUGCUAGCAACAGGAUGCAGUCUACAGUUCCAGCCAUAAUUGUUGUUUUCUAGAUGCUAAUUAGAGACAUCCUAAAGGAUUGCCACUUCCCUGAGCAAACACCAAAACAUCCACAUAUUGCCAGCUGACAAACGGAGGUGCAAUGUUGUUUUAAACACAUCUGAUUAUCACACAAAAAUUACCACACUCCUCAGUGACAACAACACCUGUGAAGCCUUAAGACAAGACCCCACAAGCAACUACAAAAAGAAAGUCAUCAGUUGCCUACAAGAACUGGAAAAGGAAAAAGCCACUGACUGCCCUACAUACCACCACCUGUACCCAGGGGAUGCUAUACCCCCUGUAUAUAUGAACCUCUGAAGAUACACAAAGUCCCACUCAGACCUAACAGUAUCAACUCAGUCACCUACAACAUUUCCAAGCACCUUGCCACCAUCCUAGAUCUCCUUGUGGGGUCCAGAAACUUACACUGGAUCCAGAUGAAACCAGAGUGUCCUUUGGUGUGGUCUCACUCUUCACUUGUGUACCUACAACUGAGGCAGUAGAAAUAGUCAGAAAACAGCAAUACAGCUCCUUAGAGAACAGAACCAGCUUUACCCCCGAUCAGCAAACUGUUAGACCUCUGCCUUAGCACCACAUAUUUUAAAUACAACGAGGGUUUCUACAGACAAAAACAUGGAUAUGCCAUGGGCUCCCCUGUAUCAUCCACAGUAGCCAACCUUUACAUGGAGGAAGUGAAAAGUAAUGCUGUUGGCUUCAGCAUUUAGCCACUGGUAUAGAUAUGUGGAUGACACCUGAGUCAAUAUCAAAACCCAAGAAGAAGAAACCUUCACUGUUCACAUCAGUGGAUAGAAACGUUAAGUUCACCAGGGAAGACACAAAGAAUAACAGUUUGCCAUUUCGGGACUGUGCUGUGCACACUGAGGAGAAUGGAAACAUCAACAUUGAAGUUUACUAGAAGCCCACACACACCCACCACCCUCUGGAACACAAACUUGGAGUAAUCAGGACCCUGCAACACCAGGCAGAAAACGCUUCCUGUAAGCCGGAAGGAAAAAAGAAGGAACACACACAUUUAAAGAUAGCUCUUAAAUGUGCUUAUCCUAAUUGGGCUUUCAUCAAAUUAGCAAAGACACACAGUAAAGAAGGUCAGACACCAAAUAGGGAGAAACAGAUCAUCCCUAAUGUAGCAGGUUUAUCAGAGAAACUCAGAGAAGGAAUCAGAGAAGGAGAGUCUUCUCCAAGCAUGACAUUCCAGUGUACUUCAGACGCAGCCACACACUCAGACAAAAAUCAGUUCAGACCAAGGACAAAACUCCCAAACCUACACUCAACAACGCAGUGUAUGCUGUUUAGUGCAGUGAGGAGUGCUGAGACCUCUACACUGGAGAAACCAAACAGUCACUCCACAAACGCAUGGCACAACAUAGAAGAACCACCUUGACAGGACAACACUCAGCUGUACAUCUGCACCUUUAAGGAUAAAGGUCACUCUUUCGAUGAUGCCAAUGUUCACAUUCUGGACAGAGAGGACAGAUGGUUUGAAAGAGGAGUGAAAGAAGCCAUCUAUGUCCACUGUGAACCACCAUCUUUGGACACAGGUUGUGGCUUACUACACCAACUAUCUGCCACCUACAAUCCAGUUUUGAGAUCCCUUCCCAGACACCUUAAUGCCCACUCACAUCUUGCAUCAGUUGAUCUCAAUAAGUCACAUGAUAGGGUAAGGUGAGGUCUCACAGUGGCUUUACCCAAAACCUCUGCUGAUAAUGACCCCCACUCUCUUUCACAUCUUGUCUCAUGUGAUGAGGCAUAUGAUCAAUAGUGGGUCGACAACUCCCGAUAGGGCUUAAAUACCUGGGACUCCCCACCAUUUGGUCUUAGAAAUGAAGAAGAAGAAGUCAUCAAGAAAGUCGCUUUUCUUUCCAAGUUCCUUAGAGUACCAUGAUCUGCAUGACUGAGAACCUACACAGACAUCCUAAAGGAUGAUUAGCUGUCGUGGUGAUGUUGAUGCUGUAUUCAAUUCUGAAACCUUGUUUAAAUAAUGAUCAACAUGUCUUUCAGCUGUAGCUGCUUUGAGAUGGACACGUAUUUGAAACAGUCUGCUGGGACAUAGAGACACAUACUCAUAGCUUCCCACUGAGCUAGUGGAACUCAAAUACAUAUAUGUCUGGUUUGUUGCUAUGGUUUCGCUCACCUUAGAGUCUGCUACUGCGCCUUGUAAAAGUCCCCCAAAAUAAAACUUAUUACUAAGGCAUGAGGGGAUUUAUUUCAUAUUCCUGUGGAAAUGUAAAGUGUAUUUAUGAAUAAUCAAUGAGGUAGCUUUCACUAAACAGUCACUCUGGUGUUUCUCUCCAACUUGAUAGUGUUUCUGUCUCAUUGUCUGUGAUGUUUAUCUAUUUUCAGCACUGUUUGAUUUAAACCAUUAGGACCAAAAUAACUGUCUUUUGUUUCGUUGUUUCUCCUGCCUUUGUUUGUGUAGUACUGUUUGAUCAAAUUCAGUAUCAGCUUCCCUUAGGGCAAAGCACCAGAGCUGCCAUGCAUGAUUAUUAAACAACAGCCAUGGACUCACAAAAGGGCACAUUCAUGGCUAAAAUUCAAUGAUGUGAUUUCAAUUUGUGCUUGAAGAAAUCCAAAAAUUAUAGCUGUUAAUGGAGGCAACAGCUAAACUUUUUCCCCCCUUCAUUUCUCCAGAGAUGAUGUCAGCUGAACGCAGUUCUUGUAUACAGAGCUGUGUAAUCUAAAGAAGCUGAUCUAUUUAAAACAGUCAGGUUAGAUUGCUUUGAAGUUCUUGAUGUUUGUUCUGGAUUAGAGAACUAAGAUUAUACAUUGCUGAUUUGAAUAAACAAAAGAUAUAGGAGUGUGUGUCUGGAAUGACUUGUGUAACUCGGACCAACAAAACGCAUCUUGUUCAAUUUUUACCGUAUUAAAUGAAUUGUUUUCCUUCUAACUAUUGUUUGCAACAACUUAAAAGAUUCAAACCAGACAUAAAUCAUUUCAAUAAAGCAAAACAGAGUUUCCCUUAAA